rnacentral:rRNA from 1 species
AUACGUAGGGUGCAAGCGUUAAUCGGAAUUACUGGGCGUAAAGCGUGCGCAGGCGGUUUUGUAAGACAGUGGUGAAAUCCCCGGGCUCAACCUGGGAACUGCCAUUGUGACUGCAAGGCUGGAGUGCGGCAGAGGGGGAUGGAAUUCCGCGUGUAGCAGUGAAAUGCGUAGAUAUGCGGAGGAACACCGAUGGCGAAGGCAAUCCCCUGGGCCGGCACUGACGCUCAUGCACGAAAGCGUGGGGAGCAAACAGGAUUAGAUACCCUGGUAGUCCACGCCCUAAACGAUGUCAACUGGUUGUUGGGGAUUUAUUUUCUCAGUAACGAAGCUAACGCGUGAAGUUGACCGCCUGGGGAGUACGGCCGCAAGGUUAAAACUCAAAUGAAUUGACGGGG